rnacentral:rRNA from 1 species
UCAGGACGAACGCUGGCGGCGUGCCUAACACAUGCAAGUCGAGCGAGGAGAUCCUCGGGAUGAUCCUAGCGGCGGACGGGUGAGUAACACGUGGGCAACCUGCCUCAUAGAGAGGAAUAGCCUUCCGAAAGGGAGAUUAAUACCUCAUAACAUUGCAGUUUCGCAUGGAACAGCAAUUAAAGGAGCAAUCCGCUAUGAGAUGGGCCCGCGGCGCAUUAGCUAGUUGGUGAGGUAACGGCUCACCAAGGCGACGAUGCGUAGCCGACCUGAGAGGGUGAUCGGCCACAUUGGGACUGAGACACGGCCCAGACUCCUACGGGAGGCAGCAGUGGGGAAUAUUGCACAAUGGGGGAAACCCUGAUGCAAGCAACGCCGCGUGAGUGAUGACGGCCUUCGGGUUGUAAAGCUCUGUCUUCAGGGACGAUAAUGACGGUACCUGAGGAGGAAGCCACGGCUAACUACGUGCCAGCAGCGGC